UGGGCAACCUGCCCUCAGCUCUGGGAUAACUCCAAGAAAUUGGGGCUAAUACCGGAUAUGACCGCUGACCGCAUGGUCUGGUGGUGGAAAGAUUUAUCGGCUGGGGAUGGGCCCCGCGGCCUAUCAGCUUGUUGGUGGGGUAGUGGCCUACCAAGGCGACGACGGGUAGCCGGCCUGAGAGGGUGACCGGCCACACGUGGGACUGAGACACGGCCCAGACCUCCGUACGGGGA
rnacentral:rRNA from 1 species